CAGGCGCAUGACGGACCAUUAUGCUAUGGGUUGAAAGGUCAUGUCAGUAGUCUGAUUACGAGUUAUGUUAUUUAGACAGAUAGAGCACCAGGGAUCCAGUGAAUGAUCCAAAAUGUGACCUUCGUGCUCCCACAGUUAGCUUUUUGUUCAUUUGUUUGUUUGGCAGACGAAGACACGGUGAUCCUCAGUAGGGCAAGCUUGAACUCUCCCUGCUUCUCCACUAGCCUUACUCACGUCAUCACUAUGCUGCCAUGCCAGGAAUGGGUGGAGCAUCAGAAUGUUAAUGCCUCGUGUCUUCUGUGAAGGAUAGUAGAAUUCGCCACUGCUUUGACCUUUCCGAUGUGCUGCGUUUCGAUUGGGUCUGGAAGUUGAUGAUUAAUGAUAAUUACAAUAAUUACACCACGGGACUCUGUUCAAAGGAAGCCACUUGAAACAUUUAAUAGAAUCUUGAACAAUCUCUGUCCCGAUGUCCCCGUCUCUCCUCCUGCACCUCCAUCACAUGUUCCUGGAUGAAGAAAUGAGGAUUGGAGAACAAGUUUUAUGUCAUCAAGUACACAGUGGAAUUCAUGGCAAGUUCCUUGAUCUAGGGAUAAGCCUGGAAAAUAUACUAAGAG